rnacentral:misc_RNA from 1 species
AUAAGGCCGGUGUGCGUUUUU